GAUGAAGAACGUAGUGAAAUGCGAUAAGUAAUGCGAAUUGCAGAAUUCAGUGAGUCAUCGAAUCUUUGAACGCACAUUGCGCCCUGUGGUAUUCCGCAGGGCAUGCCUGUUCGAGCGUCAUUUCAACCCUCAAGCCCCGCUUGGUGUUGGGCCCCGCCCGCCGUGGCCGGCCCUAAAGACAGUGGCGGCGCCGCCUGGCCCUCAGCGUAGUACAGCUCUCGCUCCAGGGUCCGGCGGCCGCCUGCCAGAACCCCCCCAACUCUGUGGUUGACCUCGGAUCAGGUAGGGAUACCCGCUGAACUUAAGCAUAUCAAUAAGCGGAGGA
rnacentral:misc_RNA from 1 species